GGGAGCCGCUCCCGGGCGGCACGACGCCGAGUCCCUCCUCCCCUCCCCGCAGGCAGCCUGUGCCUUUUCUCCAAACGAAGACAGCACUUUGAAAAUUCUUUCAAUGGAUUUUUUUUUCCUUGAAAGAUCGUACUGGGGGAAAAUGAUACUUCUAUUAGUUACAUAUUCUCCAAUCGCAUCCUCGCACCCCCCUCGUUUUGAGAUCGCUCCCCUAGGCAGGCUCAGGCGGGCGCGGAGCGGCGCGGAGUGACAAAGCCGCCGCUGCCGCCGCCGGGGGUGGGAACCGCUCUCGCCCGCCCGCCCCUCGACUCGCGAGGGCGUAAAAGUUUGUCUCAGCUCGAGCGUUCGUAGCGCCAACACGCCCUCAGGUAAAGGUGGAAGUAAAUGGCCACGCUGUAUUGACAGAGCAGGUAGAUGAAACUCAAGAGAAAAGUGUGGGUAAACGAAACUAGCCGAUGAUGAACCUGUUUUCUCCCUGACCACAAUAUGAACCAGGAUGAUGGCGGUGGCAGUGGGCCUGCAUCACAGGUUGCAGCAGAUGUUCUCAAUAUUUCUAUUAACAUUUCCUUAUUUCCAUAUGCAAGAGGAGCCCCAGAGCCUCAUCCCUGUGGUAGCUACCAUGCCGUGGUAGGUGAUGCUGUACUCUUCCACAUCAUCCUUCCGGUUCUAGCAGA
rnacentral:lncRNA from 1 species